AAUAAGUACAGUUAUAAGUUUUUAUGUCCAACUUGAUCGUCCGUCUUUUCCAAAAAAAUUUUAUGGUUAGUAUUUUUAUUGUUACUAGAAUAUAAAACAUGAAUAAUAAUUUAUGCGUGACUUAUAUUUUUUUAAUUUUUUUUUUAAAAAAAAUCAAAUAAGACGGUCCGAAUCAAUACUAUAUGGCUAGCUGCAUAGCAC
rnacentral:pre_miRNA from 1 species